CUGCGAGUAAAUCAGAGCUCUUUUUCUGUCCUAGAUGGAGCAUCUUGGCUACCGCCGUGGAGCCAAGUGGGCAUGGGAAAUUUUAACAUGAGGGAAGAUGCUGAUACACAGCACAAGGUAUUCUGGUAGAGAACACAACAUGACUGGAUCACUUCUGAAAGUUAUUGCAGAUCCACAUUACUCAUCAACUCCCAGAUUCCUGAAGCUUCUACUUGAAUUGGAGUGAGCAAGGCAAUGUACAGUUUUCCAGUGUCUAGGUUGGAGAAUGGGUUCUGUGGCACAAAUAAAUAGAAAUACUAAUAGUCCAUGCAUCAAGAGAAUGGGAACAAGAGUGGGUUUGGAAGCACCAAAACUUCUGAGAAGUGACCCUUGAAUAUCUGAGGGAGGACUGUGGCCAGAGCUUUCCCAAGGCAAACUAAAGGAAAGAAAACUGGAAAACUGAAGCAGGAAGUGUGGCUUGGCCUCUGAGAAACUGGCACCAGAUUGGCUCCAAACCUGAGACACAGUGAAGGUCUAAAAAUCAAUAUUGCAGCCAAACUCCUGUAUGGAUGGUAGAACCUGAGCUUACACAGAUAUAAUUUUUGCAGAAGCUCCCCAGGUAAGCCAUGUUUGACAGAUGCCAAUACAGGAUAACAUACAUCAAGAUCCUGGAACAUUGUCAGUCCACCAGCACUGAAGCAGUGUUCAUUGCAUUACAGCUUGUUUUGGGUGGGCAAAUGAGAAGAAUGGAUGACAGUGGGACCACAAAGCAACUUUUGUAAGGUGUACUGGAGCCAGGUUGCCAUGUGGAAAGAGGAUGGAACAAGAUUUUAAAACACAAAUCAUGACCUUAAAUAAUUCAGGCUACCUGAAAACUGCUGGGAAACAGUAGUGAAGAGACCAGCCUAUUGUACGGCAGUCUGAAAUGGGGAGUUAAUUACAGCAAGUGCAUUUGGAAGGUCAUAGAGGCAGACUCAAAAAAGUGACUGGUCCUGGAGAUAGCAUCUAUGAUAUCUCCGCAUGAGCUUUAAACAUGCCCACUGAGGAAAAGAUGAGGGUCAUACACAAAUUUCUCUGAACAUCUUGGGCAUGCAUAUUGACACACAGUCUCAUCAUCUCAGUUUGAAUUAUUAGAUCAAGUUAGCAAGCUGUUCAUUUGCUUUUGAAAAUUGUCAUUCAAGACAGUACCCAGCUGAAUCCUUAAGGCAUCCCAUUAGUUUCUUUCAGGGCAGGAAUCUUGCCCUUUCUCUAUUCACUUUAUUUGUACCUAUAAUGUUUUUAUUAUAUUUGUAAUCACAAUGGUGCUAAUUAGUUUAGAAUAUGAUCUAAAUAUUGAUUGAUUCCAUUGUAUCACUUUUAGCACCCAUUGUUGGUCCAUUUUUUCAGAAAUGUAUCUCUCAUGAUGAUCUCAUUUUGUUUAUCGUGCCAUGUCCAUAUGUUGACAUCUCCUUCAUUCUGAACCGUUUUCCAAUUGGAUUUCAAUUAUCUUGGCAAAAUGCAUUCACUGGAAUAAUUGAAAAAGUCAGAACAAUUCCUGAUAGUUACUCGGAAUAGUCAACUUUUUAAUGCUUAUCAAAAUUUUCAUUCUAGAGGUUGGUAAUGUCUACUCCAGUUCUCAUUCAGUCUAGGAUUUUCAUUUAGAUUAAUUCUUUUCAAAAGUGUCACAUAUAAAGUCAUAUUGUAACCUGUUGAAUACGUCUCCAUCACACAAAUGUUUUUAUCUGAUGCAUAAAACUUUUUCCCUCUAAAGUCUAAAUAUGAUUAAUUCUGUCAUAAUGUAUGUUUCCAUUAUGUGUUUUGGAUUGAAUGUGAUGGCAAAAUUAGGGAGUAUUCAACUGACCCAUACGUUUAUCUGGAUGGAGUGUGACAUGUUGGCAGAAGAAAUUGCUGUGAACAUAUAUGUGGCAUUGGUAAUGCAGUGAAUUCUAAAAGGAGUGCUUUAAUCAGUGAAGGAUGUCCUCAAUGAAGAACUGUGUGUAAACUGUGUAAACUUUUCACAUUCUGCUUGGAGAAUGCCAUCUUCUUUCUUUUUUAACCUCAAAUUUUUGAGAAAGAAGAAAUAUUUUUCAUUUAAAGAAUAAGGGAUUUCCUGUUAAAUGGGGAACUAUAUUUUCACCACAUGGCUUUAUAUUAUGCCAUCUGCUAUAUUUUCAGGAGCAUGUUUCUUCUUUUUUCUUUUUCCUUUUUUUCUGUGUACACAAGAAAUUAGUGUCAAAGCUACCUUAAUAAUCCCUUAUUGGGCAUGAUUCAGGUAUUAAGCUCCCAGUGACAUUAAUGGAGUCGGUGUUGUUAACUCCUUUUAUUCUUUACUGAAAGUACAACCGUUCAACCUGAGUGUAGCAUUGGAAGGAAAAAAACUGGAUUUAUACAUGGCCUUAAUUCCUCUCAUUGUAUUGAGAUUUGUAGAAAAAUAUAAAGGUGAUAUGGAGGUUUUAUUGAAUUACUGUUAAAUACUGUCAUAAUAUCAGUGACAUGGAAACUAAAAUGAUUUCAUUGGAAGUGAUAGCAAACCAUGUGAAUGCGUUGUUUCAUGGUAGCACAUUAAAUAAA